CACCCCCCUCACCCAGUGGGCGCUCCAGGGGGACGUCUGGCGACAGGAUUCAGCCCCCUCUCUAGUGGGGGAGUUCCCCUUUCCGGAGCUUGCCGAUAGUCAUUGCCAGCCAAAGGAGAGUGCCGCUAAAGCUGGGGAAAGUGACCAGAGAGCAAGUGUGAAAACUCGGGCUGGGGGCUGGGUGGGGUGGGACAGGCCCCAUGUCAGACAAAGCCCCGACUAUCAGGACUGUCCCUAUAAAAUCGGGAUCUCUGGUCACCCCACGUUGGGCCAGGGGGGACUUGGCUCUUGUGGCCUGGGCCAAUGAUGAGCCGCCGAGGGCAGGGAGAAAGUGAAAGCCACCCGGCGCCCUGGGCGGGCCGGGCAGCGCUAGGACCUGGCGGCAGCCCGGCCCAAUGUGCUUUGCUCGCGGAGCGGCUCCCAGCCCGGCAGAGCCGGGGGGGGGAGCGGGGGGGAGGCAGAGUCCCCGGCUCCUGCUCGCCGCGGGAGGGGGAGCGGAGCCGCUUUGACAGACGCGGCCAGUUGCUGACACCCGAUCCCCGGGCCAGGGAGCGCAGAGCAGCCCGGCGGCUUAAAGCGCAGCGGCGCGGGGAAGCGGCUCAGAGCAAGGCGCGCCCCGGGGGGAACCGGCCCAGACCCAAACGGAACCGAAGAACUAAACACCGAGAGGGCGACCCCGCUGAAAAUGGAGCCCAGAUCGACCCUGGCCCCUCUCCAGCCAGUGUCAGCCUCGCUGGCUCGCGGAGGAAACACUGCUUCCCUCCUCUGUGCUGUUGCCAAAGCAAAGCCAAGGCAAAUGUUUGUUGCAUCUUUUUAAAAAAAGAGAAGAUUUUGACCUCCAA